rnacentral:tRNA from 1 species
CAAGACGUAGCUUAAACAAAGCAUUCAGCUUACACCUGAAAGAUGUCUGCUAAACCCAGAUCGUCUUGA